rnacentral:sRNA from 1 species
UAAAUGUCAGAUCGUGUGUAUUUUUAAACCACUAGUUGUAUAUUAGUUUCUAUAAUAAAUGACAAGGAAACUUCAAAGUGGUCGAUGAGGAGACAAGCAUUGGCUCAACUAAUAAUCUAUGGCCACCACUUUCAGUCGCUGGAUCAAGUGAUAACUACAAGAGAUCUGGCGAAAAGGAAUUCCUCUUGGCAUUAUUAAGAUGAGGAUUUUCAGGCUCUCUCUUUUACUGCUAGGAGCUGUUCAGGUCUCAGUAUCUACUG